CUGUAGAAAUAGGCAGAGUUGAGGCAGAGUUCAUCAGUGACACAUGGAAUAAGAAGGGUGUUUCUAUUACUGGACAUUUCUGUUGUACUGUAUUAUUAUUAAUCACCUCGUUGUGGAUGUGUUGAGUGCCAGGUCUAUGAUAUCUCAUGCAUCUGUGAACACAUACACACAGUCACUGUUGUAUUACCAAUGGCAGUUUGGGAUAGGUGAUAUGACACACAAACAUAUACUGUGUUGAAGUUUGAACAGGUCAGACUAAACCUACCUAAUUCUGUUCUCCCUAUCGACGUCCGUUGGUGAGCAGGCAAGAGGUAAGGCUGGAAGUCUUUGCCAGAGCCCCAUUGAUGGGCAUAGCAGUGUAAAUCAGCUCUUGGCCCCUCAUCAAAGAUUCUGGUCGGUCGGUCGGUCGGUUGGUCGGUCGCAGACAGACAGACAGAGAGAGAGGGACAGCCCCUACAGUGGGGAGCUACCGUGGCUUCGGGCUCUAGGGGGGCCUAACUGAACAUUGGAGGUGAUGGGCCCAGACUAGGGGGUAGGUAGUGUUUUGUUUGGCUGAAAUUGCUUUGUGUGUGGUGUGUGUGUGUGUGUGUGUGUGUGUUGGGAGCAGCCAACAGCCCAGGGCUAGAGAUGAAUGACUCCACCAGGGAAACUAACACUUGACUUCCCUCUCUGACAGAUGGCUGGAUCAGCAUCAUUACAGAUGAUGUUUGUGUGAUGCAACAGUGAAUGUCAGGGAUGGUCAGGCUGGUGCCGGAGGAUGGCACUUGGAUUGGGUCAGAGAGAGUAGCAGCUGUCCAAGCAGAAAUAACAACAGGGCCACCAGUAUAGUCCAGAUGACAUACAACACAAUACACACUGUAUAAACUAUUGUUACAGGGAUGACCCAGAUCAAAUCGAAACUUCAGAUCAGUUUUGGGACUACAGUCAUUCGAUGUGCAGGGGCAUUAACUUAGUAUCAAAUGGUGAAUGUCAGAGACUUCUCUUUCAGACCAUGUCUCUGGCUGAUAUGAAAUAACACUCAACACACAGACACAAAUGGAGGAUGAUCAUUUGAGUCACCUGACAUAUUCGGCCAAUGAGGAGAUGCUCUCUCAGUCUGGGGUUGAUUGAUUGGCUACAGCAGAGUUGUUAAAUCCCAACGCUAAGCUUGGCCGAUCUGUCCUAGUGACAAAUGACAGCUUUUCUCUGCGAGGACUUAGGGCCUCCACCUCACAUGACCUACCCUCUAUCCUUCUGCAUUAGAGGAUACCACUAUUCACACCGCAGGUGAUUUAGGAAACGUCCCAAAAGGCACCCGAUUUCCUAUAUAGUGCACUAAUUUUGACCAGGGCCGAACCUCUAAACAUUAUAUGCACUAUGUUCCUCCUCAUGAACAUUGUCUGUGGUCCGUCAGUGGUUAAGGUUCCAUGUAUAAUAUGUAAAGGCCAUAACAAGCCAGUCACACUGAUAUGAUCCAGGGUAACGUUACAGUGUGGAAAGCUGUUGAUAUGAAUAAUUAGCACUGCCUGUUACAGAGGUCGAUUUCUAGUAGCAUUGAAGAAGAUUGAACAACAUUUAAA
rnacentral:lncRNA from 8 species